GGACGGAAGCUUUCCCCCCGUCAGCGGGUCUCCACUGAAUCAGCGGCAGGAGUCCUGGAUGAUCCCCCGGUCGUGUGGCCCCUCCCCCGCUCCUUCCCGACCCACGCCGCAGCGAUCGCAGACUCUAGGGGAGGGAGCGAUGUUCUCGCCUCGCCUACCGUUCCGGCGCCUCCGAAGGUACAGAUGAUGGAUGCAAUGAGGCAAAGUGAAAACAGAGAGAGAUGACUUGUGGGAUGGCAGUGUGAAGAGCUUCCUGGACCCUCUCCACAACGAAACGACAUAACCGGAGGAAGAGAAGAAGAAAAUGGAAGAGAAAAGGAAAGGCAGAAGUGAGCAAAUUGACAUGCAUGAAGCUAUUGAGUGUUUU
rnacentral:lncRNA from 1 species